UACAGAGGUCUCAAGCGUUGUUCGGAUUCAUUGGGCGUAAAGGGUGCGUAGGCGGCGCGGUAAGUCGGGUGUGAAAUCUUGGAGCUUAACUCCGAAACUGCAUUCGAUACUGCCGUGCUUGAGGACUGGAGAGGAGACUGGAAUUUACGGUGUAGCGGUGAAAUGCGUAGAUAUCGUAAGGAAGACCAGUGGCGAAGGCGGCUCUCUGGACAGUUCCUGACGCUGAGGCACGAAGGUCAGGGGAGCAAACGGG
rnacentral:rRNA from 1 species